CUCACCAUGAAAGUUCUGGGGUCGAACAGUGCGGUGCAGAAGAUAGGUCGGCGUCUCAACACCUUCGCAGGGCUAUUAAACCGGCAAAAUUGUGAGCAAUGAUCAAGGUAUUUGGCUUUACUCGCACUGUUUUUUUUUUUUUUUUUUUUUUUUUAUCUUUUCUUUACUACUCACUUCAUCAUAAUUAACGAAAGAAUUUAAAAUUUAAAAAUAAAAUAAAAUGAGAAUUUGUCAAUAAAAUAUUUGAUUGCUGUUUUUUUAUUUAUCACAUUUAUAUUAAAAAAUGAAGAAUAAUUUUUUUUUUUUCCGGAGAAAUUAAAAAAGAAUAAUAGUUGAAAAGGUCAAUGUUAAUAAAAAUAAUAUGAUUAAUUUCACUCCCAUCCCUUCAGAUUUGGCCAAAUAUCACACUCAAAUAUUUUUUGAAAAUUACUAUCACUUGCACUAGUCUUUCGCUCACACUCCAACGGUUAUAUUAACACUAUGUAAUAUGACUUAAAUACCAUUUGAUUUGGUAAAAAAUACUUUCUAACUAAAAGAAUUAAAUAAAAAGACUAUAAUAUCUCUGAAUACACUACAAAUUUAUAUAUAUACCCUGUCGCCUCUCCUCCCUCCCUCGCCACCACGGCCACAUCUGAAUCUCCAGUUGUGCCAAUCAAAGUAUUACUAGAGGACUGGAAGGAAGAAAAAGAGAGGUUAUUAACCUCGCAGCAGAUGUAGGAUAGGAAGAUUGUUGCCGGCGGUGACUUGCAGCAGCUACGGUUGCGAGCACAAAUUAUUUGAAAAUUUGUUUGGCCUCAGAACCUAGAAAACUUCCAUCACGGUGUAGCCAAUUUAGAGCUUGUCAAAACUAUAUGCAAGUCUUGUAAAUCACAGGGCUUUUAAUUUUUUUAAUUUAUUUAUAUUAGUUGACAUGGUUUCUUCUUCUCAUGUCCAAUCUGUUACUUGGCUUUCAAUGUCUUUGUUCUCUUCAAUUUCAUAAUAUAUAUAUAUAUAUAUAUGGAACAACGGUUACCAACCAAAAGUCGCCUGAAUUAUUGACUGUCUUUUUUAACCCAGAGGAAUUCAUAGCUUCAAGGCUCUGCUUUUUUUGUUGCUCCAAAGUCUGAAUCUUAUUUUUAGACUCCGCAAUAGGUGUCUUUCCUGCCUUUGCUACCUCCAAAUUCAAUAGCUCAAUCUUGUUCUUCAAAUCUGACGAAUUUAUAACAUCUUCGAUUCCCUUGAUAAUUUCUCCAUUAAAUUCCUCGAUCUUAAUUUUGAAAUCUGAGAAUGCAUUCAAUUUCCGGCGACUUUUGGUUGAUAGUGGGUAGGUAGGAAUUUAAUUAGGGGUAUAAUAGUCAUUUAGGUAAUAUGAUAUUUUGGAAUAAAUGUGAUUAAAAAAUUAGGGGCAAAGAUGUCUUUUCUCAUGUUUUUAACGGAGACCGUGACAGAAAAGUGAAAAUAAACUUAAGUGAUAGUUAUUUUUUAAAAAUGUUUGAAGUUAAUAUUUGAUCAAACUUAAGGGUAUCAAUGAAAUCAACCCAAAAUAAUAAGAGCUAAUUCUAUCCAUUGAUUUUGUACCAUAGCAAGGCCAAUAAUUCUAUUGAGAGAGAAUGCAUUCAAUUUCCGGCUACUUUUGGUUGAUAGUGGGUAGGUAGGAAUUUAAUUAAGGGUGUAAUAGUUAUUUAAAUAAUUUGAUAUUUUGAAAUAAAUGUGAUUAAAAAAUUAAGAAUAAAUAUAUAUAUAUAUUUUUUUUAACAGAGACCUUGAUGAAAAAGGAAAAAUAAAUUUUAGUUAUUUUUAAAAAAUAUUUGAGAUUAGUAUUUGGUCAAAUUUAAAAAGAUGUCAGUAAAAUUAACCAAAAUAAUAAUAGCUCAUUCUAUCCAUUGAUUUUGUAACAUCGCAAGCCCAAGAAUUCUAUUGAGUGCUACUUGUUAAUGUGAGUGUUGACAAAAUGAAUUGAAGGGGACCCACACCCACGGCUGACAAUUCACUAUUGUUGGUGAAGAUGGUUACUGGCAAGGCGAAUGACUCUAUUGAGUGCUACAUCCUAAACAUUGCUAUCUUUUGGUAAUUCAAGCGAAUUUUAUAAAAUAUUUGCUUUGAAUUUUCAAAGAUAAAAGAUGCUUCAAAGUCUGUCUAUGGACAACUUGAUUGAAAAGAUGGGAGCAAAUUGAGGGAAGAAGCCAAACAAGUACUGUAGAAUGAAGUCGGCAGUGUGAGAUUAUUCAACAUUUUUGCCAGUAACGUGAAUGACAUUUUUGCCAUAUAGAAAACAAGGAAUGACAUUAACCAAAUUACAAGGUCUAAAAAUGUUGUUGCAUCAAGGUCCCACUUCUAAGUCAACGUCUGAUUUCAGUUGGGUGGUGUGGCCUAUAUGGCUCUCGCAGGUGGUUGAGAAGGAUAUCAUCUCUCUUCCUGGUUGAGACUGUUGUUUUUGUUUUGUGGUUUUGUCUCUCUGGUUGCUUUUGGAUAAAAAAAAUUAAAAACAAAAAAAAAAUUUGUAAUUAUAUUGAGGAUGGUCUAGGGGAGGGGAAUUUUUGCAAUUGAAAAUUCUAGGGGAAAAUUAGGCAUAGAGUUGAAAAUUCUAGGGAAAAAAGUUUCAAGGAUCUACCAUCCCCAAUUUGAAACAAAACGUUUUGGGCCAUGAAGUCUCAAACUUCCAUAAGGUGUUUCCAGAACAUAGAUUGCUUCUGUUCAACCACAUAGACCCAUAUAGAAGAAAAUUGAGCUAACACAGGUUUAAGCCAAGACAUCCACAGUGCCUGUUUUUUCCUUGAAUGAAGUCCUAAAACAAUCAAAAUUUUGCAGCAUUAUCAUUUUCAGAAACCUUCAUUAAUUUAUCCAAAAGCCCCCUCUGCAUUAGGGUAUGAUGAUGUUGUGAGUUGCACAAUGUGAAAGGGUUAUGGAAUACCAAAAGGCUAGUGCCUAACGGUACCAAGCCCCUACUUCUCAAAGAGAGGUUAGGGGUUUGAGCUUUGGUGUAGGCAUAUAUGUGUAAGUACCAAUUAGGAAAAAAAAAAAAAAAAAAAAGAUUG